rnacentral:rRNA from 1 species
UGAGUUUGAUCCUGGCUCAGAAUGAACGCGAGCGAUAAGCUUAACACAUGCAAGUUGAAUGGUGUAGCACACCAUAGCGUACGGGUGAGUAGUGCGUAAGAAUCUACCAAAAAAUUGAAGGUAAAUCCUCAAUAUCUCGUGUACGAGUAAAGAUAUCUGUUAUCGUUUUUUGAUGAGCUUACGUAAGAUUAGAUAGUUGGUGGGGUAAAGGCUUACCAAGUCGAUGAUCUUUCAUUGGUCUUAGCGGACGAUCAAUCACAUCGGGACUGAGAGACGGCCCGAACUCUUCAUGGAGGCAGCAGUGAGGAAUCUUGGACACUGGGCGCAAGCCUGAUCCAGCUCUAUCGCGUGGGUGACGAAGGUUAUAUUGAUCGUAAAACCCUUUCAUUGAAAAGAAAAACAGUGUACUGUUUUUCUGGAGACUUUGACAUGAAUCAAAAAAGAAGCUCCGGCAAAUUCUGUGCCAGCAGCCGCGGUAAGACAGGAGGAGCAAGUGUUAUUCGGAAUAAUUGGGCGUAAAGGGCAUGUAGGUGGAGAAAUGUAGUUGUUUGUGAAAGUCCAAAGGUUUUCUUUGGGUGUGCAUUCAAAACGGUUUAUUCUCUAUGAGGGUGUAAGAGGAAAAUAGAAUUCCCAGAGGAGAGGUUAAAUUCUUAGAUUUUGGGAGGAAUACUUAGUGCGAAGGCAAUUUUCUGGUGCAUUCCUGACACUGAGGUACGAAAGCGUGGGGAGCGAACAGGAUUAGAUACCCUGGUAGUCCACGCCAUAAACGAUGCUGAUUACUUUUUGGAAGACAAAAAAAUCGGGGUUUAAGUCCCACAAGGGGCACCCCAUCCCAACACCCAUAUGAACAUCUAUACACCUCUUCUCAGGGCACAGAGAAAACAUAGAGUGGGGUAAGGUAUCAUAUGAGAGUUCAGUGCGGAGGAAGUCAUUAGAUGAAUGAGUUGGUUAGAGUUAGGUAACGUCAGCAAAUGAGAUAGUUCAGCUUGGUAGAACCUCGGACUCAUAAAUCGAUGGUCGGGGGUUCAAAUCCCCCUCUCAUUAUCAACACAGAAAAAUAUAAAUAUCAGUUUUUUGUGGAUGCUUUGGUUUAAAAGAAGAAGGACGUUGUGCAAAACGAAAUGUUAUACUGAGAGUGUAAUCUGCGACGUAUAAAUUUCCU